rnacentral:piRNA from 1 species
UGGGUGUCAGAGCCAAAACCAAAGUGCUGGC